rnacentral:rRNA from 1 species
AUUGAACGCUGGCGGCAGGCCUAACACAUGCAAGUCGAGCGGUAGAGAGAAGCUUGCUUCUCUUGAGAGCGGCGGACGGGUGAGUAAUGCCUAGGAAUCUGCCUGGUAGUGGGGGAUAACGUUCGGAAACGGACGCUAAUACCGCAUAACGUCGCAAGACCAAAGUGGGGGACCUUCGGGCCUCACGCCAUCAGAUGUGCCCAGGUGGGAUUAGCUGGUAGGUGGGGUAACGGCUCACCUAGGCGACGAUCCCUAGCUGGUCUGAGAGGAUGACCAGCCACACUGGAACUGAGACACGGUCCAGACUCCUACGGGAGGCAGCAGUGGGGAAUAUUGCACAAUGGGCGCAAGCCUGAUGCAGCCAUGCCGCGUGUGUGAAGAAGGCCUUCGGGUUGUAAAGCACUUUCAGCGAGGAGGAAGGGUAAUGUGUUAAUAAGACAUUGCAUUGACGUUACUCGCAGAAGAAGCACCGGCUAACUCCGUGC